UACGAAGGGGGCUAGCGUUGCUCGGAAUCACUGGGCGUAAAGGGUGCGUAGGCGGGUCUUAAGUCAGGGGUGAAAUCCUGGAGCUCAACUCCAGAACUGCCUUUGAUACUGAGGAUCUUGAGUUCGGGAGAGGUGAGUGGAACUGCGAGUGUAGAGGUGAAAUUCGUAGAUAUUCGCAAGAACACCAGUGGCGAAGGCGGCUCACUGGCCCGAUACUGACGCUGAGGCACGAAAAGCGUGGGGAUCAAACAGG
rnacentral:rRNA from 1 species